rnacentral:rRNA from 1 species
GAUGAACGCUGGCGGCGUGCCUAAUACAUGCAAGUCGAGCGAACAGAUAAGGAGCUUGCUCCUUUGACGUUAGCGGCGGACGGGUGAGUAACACGUGGAUAACCUACCUAUAAGACUGGGAUAACUUCGGGAAACCGGAGCUAAUACCGGAUAACAUAUUGAACCGCAUGGUUCAAUAGUGAAAGGCGGCUUUGCUGUCACUUAUAGAUGGAUCCGCGCCGUAUUAGCUAGUUGGUAAGGUAACGGCUUACCAAGGCAACGAUACGUAGCCGACCUGAGAGGGUGAUCGGCCACACUGGAACUGAGACACGGUCCAGACUCCUACGGGAGGCAGCAGUAGGGAAUCUUCCGCAAUGGGCGAAGGCCUGACGGAGCAACGCCGCGUGAGUGAUGAAGGUCUUCGGAUCGUAAAACUCUGUUAUCAGGGAAGAACAAAUGUGUAAGUAACUGUUCACAUCUUGACGGUACCUGAUCAGAAAGCCACGGCUAACUACGUG